rnacentral:rRNA from 1 species
UACAGAGGUCUCAAGCGUUGUUCGGAUUCAUUGGGCGUAAAGGGUGUGUAGGUGGCGCCGUAAGUCGGGGUGUGAAAUUUCGGAGCUUAACUCCGAAACUGCAUUCGAUACUGCGGUGCUUUGAGGACUGGAGAGGAGACUGGAAUUCAUGGUGUAGCAGUGAAAUGCGUAGAUAUCGGGAGGAACACCAGUGGCGAAGGCGACUUCCUGGCCUGUUCUUGACGCUGAGGCGCGAAAGCUAGGGGAGCAAACGGG